rnacentral:rRNA from 1 species
GGAGUAACGCGUGGAUAACCUGCCUCACACUGGGGGAUAACAGUUAGAAAUGACUGCUAAUACCGCAUAAGCGCACAGUACCGCAUGGUACAGUGUGAAAAACUCCGGUGGUGUGAGAUGGAUCCGCGUCUGAUUAGCCAGUUGGCGGGGUAACGGCCCACCAAAGCGACGAUCAGUAGCCGACCUGAGAGGGUGACCGGCCACAUUGGGACUGAGACACGGCCCAA